UUAACGUAGGUUUAUUUGGUUUUGGCUUUACUACUACCAUUUGUUCUACCAUCCAUCCCACCUAAUUUAACGUUUAUUAAAUUAUAAUCAAUUUUUAAUAAAUUUAUUAUUCUAAUUAUAUUACCUCUCCUAUGGGAUCACAUAAAACUUCAGGAACAGAAAUUUGCAGAUCUUCUAUUGGAGAUGAGAUUCUUCGAUUUUCGUCAUCAUCAGUAUCGGAAUCUGAAGAGCUAUCACUACUACUGCUACUGCUACUGCUACUAUCACUGCUAUUUUCGGAGUCUUCACUAUCUGUAUCAUCAUUCAGUGUAUUAUUCCGGUAGUUAUUUUGCUUGCUAUCAUCAAUUGUUAUUUGUUCAUGGGUAAUAUUUAUUUCUGAUUCUUCUUCAUCUUCAGAUUCAGAAUAAGUUGAUGCUAUAAUGCUUAAAGCAUUUGUUACUUGAAUAACUUUUAUAUCGUCUUUUGAUUUAUCACAAUACGUCAUUUGAAAACUAUCAGUAUGAUUCGGCUCCACAAUAUUUUUACAUAAUUCAUUACAAUCAUUGUCAAUCAAAUUGACUUUCACUUCUAUAUUUUCUUCACUACUUUCUUUGUUUGUUGUAUUAUUUUUUUCAAACCGUUCAAGAUCCAUCUUUUUCACUAGUAAUAUUCAUAAAUAAACAUGUAUUUAGUGUCGGCAGAAAAUCACGUGUUUCAUAACCUAAACACUAUAAAAUGAUUUAAUACUUUGUAAAUAACGUAUAUAGUCACAUAUACGUUGUGUUAUCCCGUCACAUGGGCAAUUGAUUAUUUUGGAACAGAAAUACGACGAACUCUAACGGUAGUUUUAAGAAUUAUAUUUGUGAACUGUAUUAUGUCAACAUUGCCAGAGAAGAGAGAGACGCUACAUAUGGCUGGAAUUUUAGUAUCCCAUCUAAAAUUGGAAUUCUAAAAUUCUAAAUGUAUCUCAAAAAAUUCGUCCAACAGAUUCUCACGCGAUAUGUCAUCUAUAU